GCAAGUCGAGGGGCAGCAUAGGACUUCGGUCCUGAUGGCGACCGGCGAACGGGUGAGUAACGCGUACACAAUCUACCUUAAGGAGGGGGAUAGCCCCGGGAAACUGGGAGUAAUACCCCAUGUGUUCUAAAAAUCACAUGGUUUAUAGAAGAAAGUUGAGGCGCCUUAAGAUGAGUGUGCGUUCUAUUAGUUAGUUGGUAAGGUAACGGCUUACCAAGACGAUGAUAGAUAGGGGGCGUGAGAGCGUGGUC
rnacentral:rRNA from 1 species